ACGAACGCUGGCGGCGUGCUUAACACAUGCAAGUCGCACGGAAAGGCCCUGCUUUUGUGGGGUGCUCGAGUGGCGAACGGGUGAGUAACACGUGAGUAACCUGCCCUUGACUUUGGGAUAACUUCGGGAAACUGGGGCUAAUACCGGAUAGGAGCUCCUGCUGCAUGGUGGGGGUUGGAAAGUUUCGGCGGUUGGGGAUGGACUCGCGGCUUAUCAGCUUGUUGGUGGGGUAGUGGCUUACCAAGGCUUUGACGGGUAGCCGGCCUGAGAGGGUGACCGGCCACAUUGGGACUGAGAUACGGCCCAGACUCCUACGGGAGGCAGCAGUGGGGAAUAUUGCACAAUGGGCGGAAGCCUGAUGCAGCAACGCCGCGUGCGGGAUGACGGCCUUCGGGUUGUAAACCGCUUUCGCCUGUGACGAAGCGUGAGUGACGGUAAUGGGUAAAGAAGCACCGGCUAACUACGUG
rnacentral:rRNA from 1 species